rnacentral:RNase_P_RNA from 1 species
CCGCGUCGGCGGCAACGUUCGACGGCAGGCCAAACCCCAUCCGGAGCAAGACCAAAUAGGGAAGCUGAGGCGUGGCCCGCGCUGCUUCCGGGUAGGUUGCUUGAGCCUGUCGGUGACGGCAGGCCUAGAGGAAUGAUUGCCAAACCCCGCAAGGGGGGAACAGAACCCGGCUUAUCGGCCGGCUUUCCAU